GGAAAUAAGCACCGUUCUUGGUCCGUCUGAAACAAAAUAGAAAAAUCUCAGGAAAUACUAAACAGCCGAUAGCAAAUACUUUUGUCGAGCUAUGCAUGUUUCACCCGCCAUCAUAAAAAUGUAUUUAUUAAACCGUAAAUAAUGUACAUGAUUUAAGUAUACGCUCACUUCUCCAAGGCACAUUUACCUAAUUAUUCCAAUGUAAAUAAAAAAAAAUGCUUUUUCUUCACUGCCCAUAAUAACCAUAUGGAUUUAAAUCGGUGAAGUUAUGCUUCCACGUUCGUAAACAUUCAAUCACCAGCCAUCUAGUAUGUAUAGAUAACUCCGGUAUAUUUUCAAUUUUUGAAACACUCCUGUUCUAAAGUGGCAUUGAAACCCUAUAAAGAAUGACAGUGAAUCGCAGGUUAACCGUUGCUUCUUUGGGUGUUUUCUGUGUUAGUUCAGUGUGCUUGGUGAAUGAACCCAAGACACUUUAGGUGGUUGCUGUGUGGUUCAUAUAUGUUUGGUUCACAUCAAUUCUUCCAAUGCGACUGACUGGGCGUACCCUGUUCAGGUCUGACUGUGCAAAACCGUGAAAGGUCAUGUAAGCGCAGAAAGGAUGCUGCGAAUUACGGUGCUGGGGAGCGUCUGUAAGUGGCCGCAGUACUGGAGGACCCUUGCAGUUGAAGUCGUCUCGAUGUGCGACUUCUUCGCUGCAUUUCUUUUUAACGUCAUUAAUUUUAAAUGCCAGAUCAUGUAAAUGAAUACAGGUCGUUAACCUUAAAGUACUUCAUUUAUUUGGUUGCUUAUUUAUUCGCCUUUUUCACAAAUCAGUUAAAACAUGCACUAUGAGAAUCAGCUUCAGUGGCAAAUCACCUUUUAAGUCUCGUGGAAAUUGCUGUCUGUACAACAAAGGCAGUUCCUGUGAGCCUAACCAAGUUCUCCGCGUUAAUUUGUUAUAUGUACGCUGGAACGGUCUGUUUGCUCGGCGAAUGUACAAUGCAAACAAGACUCUUUUCCAAAAGCAAAAUUCCAAUUCAUACUCUAGCUAGAGGCAUUCAUACGCAGGAGAAAAUCCGUCUGUUCAUAUAGUCUUUUAUACAUUAUAUUCAUAAACAUUAUACAGAAAAAAAUAUUGAAUAUGUUUUUAGCAAUAUUAUUUCGUAGUCUACUAUACGCAUUAUUCAGGAUUCCUUGAUGUUUAACUUCAUUCGCUAUUGAUUUAAACACGGCGCAUCAGAAGAAGCAUCGUUCACACUUGUCCAUCACAGAAAAACGACAGGGCAUUUACAUUGGGUUACAACCGUUAUUCCAUAAAAGCCCCGACUACUAUAAUGAUAAGGUCUUUGUUAACGCGGGUUAAAAAGACACGUUGUGACAUCGUGACGUAGCCAGUCCCCUUAGCAGCACACGGAAGUGCUUCUCGGAAACAAAGGACUAGCAGCUAGCGGACGGAUAGUUACGCGCAGGAAUCAAAAUACUAAAGUUAUGCACGUUAAUUGAUGAUCAGUUGUUACGUUAAGUCUACACCAAAUAACACGAUCUUCACCUUUUAACGUGUAAGCGAGACCGGAAAUCCCCACACACAAAGGCGAAGGGUAAAGCGAGGUGCUCACCUAAGACUGUGUCGUCAGAACUGGAGAGCAGUAAGCUGCGAAAAGCCACUUCUAUCAUAACCGCAAAUGCCUUGUCGUUAAAAUAUCCCGAAUCUGCCAAGUAUUGAAGACCUUCUUGCACAAACUCCGACAGCUCCAUUGCAGCUGAAAAUUGACCUUCAACACCAUAUCACGUGAUAGACGAUCAGCUGAUCUUGUUGAGUGGGAAAAGCAGUUUUCAGCUUUAAGGGUGUGUGUGUGGAAAGGGGAAUACGGCCCAUGAUUUUUUAUUCUAGACAAAUGCAGCUAGACUGUUUUGUAUAUCACUGAGAAAUGUAAAUCUGUAAAAUAAAUUAAGAUUUGUAUUUCGUAGUUAUAUUUAUGUAUAAGAAGGAUUCUUUGUGGUUAUUUGUAGAAUAUGAUUAUAGCUUGCAAGGCAUAUGGGUUUUAAUUUUUUUUUUAUUGUAAAUGCUUUUAAAUAUAAAACUUAUUGUGAAGCCCAGUUACUUUAUGUCAUCAGCACUACUGUCUGCUAAGGUCUAACUUUUGAAAACUGGACCACAGGAAAUUAAUUCCUAAUUGGCCUAGUUGAAAGAAUAACAUCUAUAUCAGUAAUUAAAAAAACUAUUCAACUAUUUACUCAUUUGACAACAAGUAUGCAGUUGAAAUGAAUCCUGCAUAUCUCAAUGUAGAUCUUGGACCAUACUUAACUACCUUGGUGUUGGUUUGGAGAGUGUGAAUGGAUAAUUGUAGCCCUGUCUGCAGGAAGAGAAAUAAAACUCGUCCAAUCCCUUA